rnacentral:tRNA from 1 species
GCCUGGGUGGCUCAGUGGUUGAGCAUCUGCCUUGGACUCAGGGCAUGAUCCCAGGCUCUUGGGAUCAAGUCCCACAUUGGGCU